GCCAGGUGCAGUGACACACACCUGUAAUCCCAGCAACCUGGGAGGCUGAAGCAGGAGGAUUGCAAGUUUGAGGCCAGCCUCAGCAACUUAGUGAGACCCUGUCUCAA
rnacentral:sRNA from 1 species